CUUGGUCAUUUAGAGGAAGUAAAAGUCGUAACAAGGUCUCCGUAGGUGAACCUGCGGAGGGAUCAUUACACAAUAAAAUACGAAGGCCGUUCGCGGCUGGACUAUUUAUUACCCUUGUCUUUUGCGCACUUGUUGUUUCCUGGGCGGGUUCGCUCGCCACCAGGACCACAAUAUAAACCUUUUUUAUGCAGUUGCAAUCAGCGUCAGUACAACAAAAUGUAAAUCAUUUACAACUUUCAACAACGGAUCUCUUGGUUCUGGCAUCGAUGAAGAACGCAGCGAAAUGCGAUACGUAGUGUGAAUUGCAGAAUUCAGUGAAUCAUCGAAUCUUUGAACGCACAUUGCGCCCUUUGGUAUUCCAAAGGGCAUGCCUGUUCGAGCGUCAUUUGUACCCUCAAGCUUUGCUUGGUGUUGGGCGUUUUUGUCCCCCCCAAAAAAGGGGACUCGCCUUAAAAGGAUUGGCAGCCGGCCUACUGGUUUCGCAGCGCAGCACAUUUUUGCGCUUGCAAUCAGCAAAAGAGGACGGCAAUCCAUCAAGACUCCUUCUCACGUUUGACCUCGGAUCAGGUAGGGAUACCCGCUGAACUUAAGCAUAUCAAUAAGCGGAGGAA
rnacentral:rRNA from 1 species